rnacentral:lncRNA from 1 species
CCCCAACCCAGAGCUCUAAGAACAACCAACAGUUAGGGAUGCAGAAGAACAUUCCAUGGCUGUUGGAAGCAGUCGGGGAGGUGGUUUGCUGGACGAGUAUAAGGAGGAGACUGGAGCAGCAACUCCAUAAGGGGAAAUGAUGAUUGCCAAUUUAACACCUUGCCUUGAUGCCCUUCUUUUCAACCUCGCACUCAAACGCUUAUCAGCUAUUUUCUUGCAGUCUUGGCAGAAGCUCAGGGGACCCUAUUUUACUGAUGUUUUGAUAUAUCAAUGAAAAAGUUAGGCGGCUUGUUCGAUGUGGGUGGAAUUCUCUGUCCUCCAAUUUCAUCAACUUCAUUUCUAUCUUUAAGAAAUGUUUGAUAGAUGAAAUAUAUACAAAAUAUAUCUAAGUAUGAAGCAUAAUAAUAAAAGGAACAUUUAUAAACCACCCAAUUGAAUAUUUCCAUUUCUGUUGAUCCGCGUGAACUCCUCCCCAGUCGCACCCCUGCCCACCCCCAGAGGACCUCAAGUACAAUGCUGGGAAGAAGAGUUGACCCAGACAUUUUUGCCUUGCUCCUGAUUUCAAAAGGGAUAUUUCAAACAUUUCACCUUGAAGAAUGAUAUUUGCUGUAAUUAUUUGGUAAAAACUCUUUAUCAGAUUUGUCACUGUGGCUAAGCGCAGGUCAGUUAUCUUCAAUUUAGAAGAUCCUUCUUACCUCUGCUGGCCACCAAAUGGCCCUUCGAUUCUGGCCUUCCCUCCUAACAGUGAUGUACUGACGCCUGGGUACCAGGUACAGCGCCUGGAGGUCAACAGUAGGCCUGAAGAAGCCCAGCCAUUGGAGGUCUAGCUGGUUGUCAAUCCACAUCCCUUUUCUCCCACUCAAAACUCACUUUGUCUAAAACACUCUUCCUGAUUACCAGCCUGUGAUCCACCCUGAGUGCGGGGACCACAUCUUUUCAUCUCUCUAUCCCCAGGGCCCAGCCCAAAGCCUGCACAGAGAAGUUGCUCAAAAAUGCUUGUGAAACUGAGUUUGCCCAACCCAAUUCUGAGCUCUUUCUUGGCUCAGUUGAUCCUGAUUUUUAAAGUCGUUUCUCCAAAACGCUCUUGAGCCUUUUUUUGUAUGCGGCACAUGCAUCUGCUGUGUCUCACAAGACAGACAGUGGUUGCUUUGCAGAUAAGAACUGUGUCUACGGAGGAGUUUCUUUUGACUUUCCAAUUUCAGAGGCUGUCCGACACUAGCCCAAAGCCCCUUCAGCGUCUUGUCCAUCUGUGUUCUCAUCCACACUCCUACUCACAAGUUGGAAACUCUAGGUAAUGAGGCAGCUGCCGCCGUGUCCACUUCCUGUUCUGGGGCCUCAGCGUCUGAAGAGGGCAGACAGCGCGCUCAGGACCUGCCCCUGCCCCGGCCCCUUCGUAUCACGAAUUCGCUCGUCCUGGAUGGUUCAGCACUUCACAUUUUCAAAAUUUCAGCCAUUGUGUUUAUUGAAAGUGCAUCGACCACAAAACACCGCAGUUCACCUCUCUCUCUUUCUCGCUCUCUCUCUCGUGGAUGGGAAGAUUAUUCUGAAUCUAUGAAGGCAUUUAUUCACAGUGGCUUCUGAGUCAGGCUCUGCACCUACUUCAAUUUUAGAUGUUUUUCUGAAUCUCCUGUUGUGUGUGGCAGUUCAGGAACAGACACUGUGAGACGGAGAGGGGGACUCUGGAUCCGGAUUCAGGCAGCCCGGGUUCAAAUCCUAGGCUUUCCCCUCCCCGUGCCUAGCUGAGUGACCGUGGGCACGUCAUUUCACUUCCAGAAGCCUCGCCUUCGUGGUCCAUCAAAUGAAAUACUAUCUCCCUCUCCAGAGUUGUUGUAAGGAUGAGCUGAAAUGGCGUGUCUGAGCACAGCACAGAGCCGUCUCCCGUUUGUGUACAUUUCCUUCAGUUCAUGCACGUGGCUUCUUUUCCAGGUGAAUUCCAGACUUCGGGAGUUUGUAGACUAGGAAAAUCUCAAAACACAUUUUGAUGAGCAUACUUUUGCCAAGUUUUUAUUUUGCCAACUUUUAAUGUUGCCAAGUAAGAACAGUAUUAAAAAAACCAGCACAACUCACCUUCAUCCAUUUCCACUAAAUUUCAUAAAAGAAUAUUUAAAAAAAAAUCAAGAGGACAUCGUUACGAGUCAAAAAUGGAUGACGUUUAGCUUUACGAAAACCUCUCUGUAUUGCUCUUACUCAUCUUAUCUUAGAGAUGAGUGAACACUUGGUCUGCAGAUCAGUAUUUGGGAGCCGUCGCUCAUCCCGGACUCGCAGGGCUUUCCAGACUAGCGGUUCCCCGCUGUAGACGCCUCACCCCGAGGUGGGGAGGCGGAGGCGGAGGCGGAGGAUGAGCGAGCAGCACGUCUUUCGGUGCAAAGCGUAAGGAACUGCUGGGGUGUGAUCGCCGAGCCCAGGGACCUCGGGAUGUUCAGAGACGAGAGCGGUUGUGAGAAACUGAUGUGCACGAUAUAAAGUAUGUGAAGAGAACAGAGGCAGAACAUUUCCUGAGUUCCAGGUGGAAUACUGGCCGUGUUUGCAUUUUGGGUUUUUAAAAAAAGAUUGCAAGCAAGCGAUCAAAACUUGCCACAUCCGUCACUGAAGAGUGUGCGGGCUCGUGACGGUUUCACUCUGACGCAGCUCCCAAUUGCCUGCGGUUUUUCAGACACAUCCCCCUACAAUAUCCUUUGGGGUCAAAACAUUCCAUAGCUGGUCUAAGGGCAGAGGUGAAUCGUUUUUGAGAAGUUUGGGCUCACUCUGCUCAGCUGGUUUUGCUUAGGGGAGUGUGGAAAGAUCCCUAGGGGUUCUUUUCUAGGAGAAAAAAAUUACACACGCACACCACAGACACACACAUCAUUUGGGGCCUUUUAAAGUCGGGUUAACUCCUACCUGGGGAGGGAACCUCGGCCAGACGGGAAAUCUUAGUGGAUGACAAUUGAACUGCACUGACCCAUCUGGUGUCCGGAAGGAGGCGCAGAGCAGGCCUGUGCCAACUCUGGGUCCACGUGGGAGCACGCUGCCCUGUGCUGGGGGCCUGCUCCUGAGCCCCAGGUACUGCUGAUUUUGUAGAAUAAAAGUCACAAGCACUUACUAUGUGUGAGUCCUCUGUGAAGUACCUCGCUUCUAUUGUCUUGUCUAACCCUCACAUAGCAUUUUGGGCCAAGCCCUAAUCAGAAGGCCCAUUUCACAGAUGAGAAAACUGAGGCUUACACAGCAUUAGGCAAAGGUGUCCAAAGUCGCACUGCGGCCCGUGAGCGGUAGAGCUGGGACAUAAGCGCAGGUCUUUCUGAACAGUAACUACUAGGAUGUUUAGCUCCUAAAAUCUGAGGUCUGAAAUGAGUGGGAAAGGAGCUUGAACCACCCGUCUGAGGUGGCAUUUGGAAAAGGAGACCUUGCCCACCACACACACACACGCACAGGCUCUUUAAACUCUCUGAAGCACUCCUAAAACACACAGCGUUUCCCCUCCUCCCUGUAAAAAGGCAACCUAGGAAACUUGCGAGAGAAUAAUUUAGCAGCGUCUAUCCAAAGCCUCAAAAUAUUUAUGCCCUUUGACCCAGAAAUUGCCCUGCUAGGAAUCUGCGCCGUAACCAGGAUGUUCCAGGCUUCUCCGGCCCAUGGGUACAAGGGCUGUGCUCAAGCGUCACCUCCUUAGCGGACUGUCUUGCCCCGGCUUUGCCCUCAGUGACUAAAACACCAGCUGACUCACUGAGGGCCCUCCACAAAGGUUCCCGAAGGAACAGAUGAGCUUAUGUUACAUAAAUACCUCCAAUCUCAAGACUCUGCUCAGGCAGCAGAUCGAGUCUUUUACAAAUGUCCCCCUCCCUCACGCUGCUCAGGUUCCCUUGAAGUUUCCAUAAGGUGGUCCUGCUCAUCGCGCAGCACGGCUGCCGGCAGGUAGACGGGGACACUCAGGCAUGUCCCUUGAGGCCAGAGUCCACAAAGCCUGGCCUCCCCAGGACCCUCCAAGGAGCCGCUCCUGCGGUGUCACCGGAACCUGCCGUCCUCCCCAGCCCCCAGUGCUGCCUCCUUUUCGAGGUAUCCUCUUGCUGCUGGUUGUGCCAGGACUUGGGGCUCCCCCCUCAGCGAGGCGAUUUCAAGCCAGCAGGCCACCCCCUACCUGGCGUUUGCACAAACCUCUGCCUGUGAGCGCAGGCAGUGAGGAGGCGCCCCUAGUUUUGCCAGGUUCUGUCAGCGAGGCUUCUGCAGCAAAGCUGCCUGGGUCCCUGCCUGUUCCAGACUUUUCCCUGCACCCCAACAAGCGGACAUGUCCCAAGGCAUGUCCAGCCUCCAGGCUGGGGGGGACGGCAGGUCCACCCUCAGUGUCUGCAACCUGCAUUCUCCCUAUCGCAGGCCCUGCAGCUGGGCUGGUUCAGCACGAGGGCUGCCUUCUCUCCUCCAGCGGUGAGGUGAGGCGCAGGGAGGCGCACGUAUCAGAAUCAGAAUGAGAAUCUCCGCGCGGCAAGCGUGGGUGACAGAGGCCAACGAGGGCCUGCCUCCUUCCCUGAGGACACCUGCCAAGGAAAAAUGUUACCUUAAAAACAAAAGAAAGAAGGAGGAAAGGAAGGAAGGACAGCUGGGAUCCUGAGGAACUUACAAGAUGUGUCUUGAUUUGAUGACGUGAAAUAGAAACCUUGACAUUUAUUUAUUUUUUUGUCUUUUGUUGCGCCACAAAGAUUCGAGGAAACGCAAAAGAAAAGAUAUGAUAAAACACAAUUACAAAUAAAGAAAAAAUAUCGGGAUUAAGGAAAAUAGUGAUGUAUGAGAAAGAUAAGAUUGGAGGAAAGCAGAGUCUUACGAAAAGCUGAGCUCUGAGGUGAGCUCCCUCGGCUGUUCCAUGGCCCAUCGGGUCCUCUGCUCGCCCAGCUGGAGACCUGCAGCAUCUGCUCAGGGUGAGCCCACCAAGAGGAGAGUAUAGUAGAUACAUUGUGGGGUGGCUGUCUGUCCAGCCCAUAACGACCCCUUUUCUUCUGCCUACAAAAAGGGGCUUGCACUAUCACGGUCUGCUGUGCUGGAGUGGACCCCUGGCCCAAGCUGAGCCAGACAAGAGUCUGCCUCCUAGACAUUCGGAACUGGGCCUGAGAGCUGGCCGG